rnacentral:rRNA from 1 species
GGGCCUGCACAAGCGGUGGAGUAUGUGGCUUAAUUCGAUGCAACGCGAAGAACCUUACCUGGCCUUGACAUGUAGUGGCCCGGGUGCGAAAUCACCCUUUUCUUCGGAACUGCUACACAGGUGCUGCAUGGCUGUCGUCAGCUCGUGUCGUGAGAUGUUGGGUUAAGUCCCGCAACGAGCGCAACCCCCGUGUUCUGUUGCCACCCGGAUGAGAAUCCGGAGCACUCUGGACAGACUGCCUGGUUUCAACCAGGAGGAAGGUGGGGAUGACGUCAAGUCAGUAUGGCCCUUACGGCCAGGGCUGCACACGUACUACAAUGCCCGGUACAAUGGGAAGCGAGACCGCGAGGUGGAGCAAAUCCUAAAAACCGGGCCCAGUUCAGAUCGUAGGCUGCAACUCGCCUACGUGAAGGAGGAAUCGCUAGUAAUCGCAGGUC